AUUGAACGCUGGCGGCAUGCUUUACACAUGCAAGUCGAACGGUAACAGGCCGCAAGGUGCUGACGAGUGGCGAACGGGUGAGUAAUGCAUCGGAACGUGCCCAGUCGUGGGGGAUAACGCAGCGAAAGCUGUGCUAAUACCGCAUACGAUCUAUGGAUGAAGGCGGGGGACCGAAAGGCCUCGCGCGAUUGGAGCGGCCGAUGUCAGAUCAGCUAGUUGGUGGGGUAAAGGCCCACCAAGGCGACGAUCUGUAGCUGGUCUGAGAGGACGACCAGCUACACUGGAACUGAGACACGGUCCAGACUCCUACGGGAGGCAGCAGUGGGGAAUUUUGGACAAUGGGCGCAAGCCUGAUCCAGCAAUGCCGCGUGCAGGAAGAAGGCCUUCGGGUUGUAAACUGCUUUUGUACGGAACGAAACGGUCUGGGUUAAUACCUCGGGCUAAUGACGGUACCGUAAGAAUAAGCACCGGCUAACUACGUG
rnacentral:rRNA from 1 species